rnacentral:rRNA from 1 species
GUGGGGAAUAUUGGACAAUGGGGGGAACCCUGAUCCAGCCAUGCCGCGUGUGUGAAGAAGGCCUUUUGGUUGUAAAGCACUUUAAGCGAGGAGGAGGCUACCGAGAUUAAUACUCUUGGAUAGUGGACGUUACUCGCAGAAUAAGCACCGGCUAACUCUGUGCCAGCAGCCGCGGUAAUACAGAGGGUGCAAGCGUUAAUCGGAUUUACUGGGCGUAAAGCGCGCGUAGGUGGCCAAUUAAGUCAAAUGUGAAAUCCCCGAGCUUAACUUGGGAAUUGCAUUCGAUACUGGUUGGCUAGAGUAUGGGAGAGGAUGGUAGAAUUCCAGGUGUAGCGGUGAAAUGCGUAGAGAUCUGGAGGAAUACCGAUGGCGAAGGCAGCCAUCUGGCCUAAUACUGACACUGAGGUGCGAAAGCAUGGGGAGCAAACAGGAUUAGAUACCCUGGUAGUCC